AUAUGAUACCACAAACUUACAAAUCUGUAUAUAAGUGAUCAGUAGACAUUGAUUAUAGUUAGUGUUAAAUCUCAACAUUGUCUAUAAAUUUUAUGUUUCGUCGUUUCAUACCGUAAUAUAUCCGUUUGCUACAAGUCGAUAACAAACCAAGUAACACAAUUUGAUCAGGUAUAUUUAAUAUAUAUAAAAAAUAAUAUGUCGUACUAUACUAAUGUAUCUGCAGGCGAAAGCUCUUCAAAUGAUGAUAAUGAAAGUAGUAUGCUAUCAACACUAUCAUCUUCUUUAAAACCGGUAAAAAUGCAGAAAAAAAAAGAAAAAAUGAUACUGAACCAAAAGU